CUCAGUUCGGAUUGGAGUCUGCAACCCGACUCCAUGAAGCUGGAUUCGCUAGUAAUCGCGCAUCAGCCACGGCGCGGUGAAUACGUUCCCGGGCCUUGUACACACCGCCCGUCAAGCCAUGGGAGCCGGGGGCGCCUGAAGUCCGGGACCGCGAGGACCGGCCUAGGGCGAAACUGGUAACUGGGGCUAAGUCGUAACAAGGUAUC
rnacentral:rRNA from 1 species